ensembl:lncRNA
GGGAUCGAACUGGGGUCGCGCAGCAGGCAGCGAAACCAGUGAGGGUCUCACUAUGUCACUAUGUAGCCCAGACUGGCUCAAACUCGGGCCAAUCCUCCUGCCUCCAGGACUGCAGAUCUGGCACCAUGGGACUUCUGGCUCUUCCUCAAAGUCAAACUGACCACGAAAGGAAAAUGUUUUGAAUCUCUUCAAGACAUCGAGGCAUCCACAACAGCACAACCAAAGACUUCCAGAACUGUUCCAGAAAGUGGCAAGAACGACGGGAUGAAUGUGUUCAAAAUGAGGGGGAGGGCUGGCCAUGGAGGCACCUGCCUGUAACCCCAGCACUUCGAGGCCAAGGCAAGAGGAAUGCUGUGAGUUCCAGGCCAGCCAGCGCUUCAUAGUGAUUCAAAGCCAG